AGAGUUUGAUCCUGGCUCAGAACGUACGCUGGCGGCACGCCUAACACAUGCAAGUCGAACGCAGUAGCAAUACUGAGUGGCGAACGGGUGAGUAUAAUGUGGGUAUCUGCCUUUUGGUUUGGAAUAACACGAGGAAACUUGUGCUAAUACCGGAUAAGCCCUUACGGGGAAAGUUUUAACGCCAAGAGAUGAGCCCACACUUGAUUAGCUUGUUGGUAAGGUAAAAGCUUACCAAGGCUACGAUCAAUAGCUGAUCUGAGAGGAUGAUCAGCCACAUUGGGACUGAGACACGGCCCAAACUCCUACGGGAGGCAGCAGUGGGGAAUCUUGCACAAUGGGGGAAACCCUGAUGCAGCGAUGCCGCGUGAGUGAAGAAGGCCUUUGGGUUGUAAAGCUCUUUCGUCGGGGAAGAAAAUGACUGUACCCGAAUAAGAAGGUCCGGCUAACUUCGUGCCAGCAGCCGCGGUAAUACGAAGGGACCUAGCGUAGUUCGGAAUUACUGGGCUUAAAGAGCUCGUAGGUGGUUAAGAAAGUUGGUGGUGAAAUCCCAAGGCUUAACCUUGGAACUGCCACCAAAACUUUUUAACUAGAGUAUGAUAGAGGUAAGCGGAAUUUCUAGUGUAGAGGUGAAAUUCGUAGAUAUUAGAAAGAACACCAAUUGCGAAGGCAGCUUUCUGGAUCAUUACUGACACUGAGGAGCGAAAGCAUGGGUAGCGAAGAGGAUUAGAUACCCUCGUAGUCCAUGCCGUAAACGAUGUGUGCUAGACGUUGGAAAUUUAUUUUUCAGUGUCGCAGCAAAAGCGUUAAGCACACCGCCUGGGGAGUACGACCGCAAGGUUAAAACUCAAAUGAAUUGACGGGGACCCGCACAAGUAGUGGAGCAUGUGGUUUAAUUCGAAGAUACGCGCAGAACCUUACCAACACUUGACAUGUUCGUCGCGACUCUAAGAGAUUAGAGUCUUCGGUUCGGCCGGACGAAACACAGGUGCUGCAUGGCUGUCGUCAGCUCGUGUCGUGAGAUGUUGGGUUAAGUCCCGCAACGAGCGCAACCCUUACUUUUAGUUGCCAUCAUUUAGUUGGGCACUCUAAAAGAACUGCCAGUGAUAAGCUGGAGGAAGGUGGGGAUGACGUCAAGUCCUCAUGGCCCUUACGUGUUGGGCUACACACGUGCUACAAUGGUACUUACAAUGAGAUGCAAAGAGGCGACUCUAAGCUAAUCCCAAAAAGGUACCUCAGUUCGGAUUGUACUCUGCAACUCGAGUACAUGAAGCUGGAAUUACUAGUAAUCGUGGAUCAGCGCGCCACGGUGAAUACGUUCCCGGGUCUUGUACACACCGCCCGUCACACCAUGGAAGUUGGUUACACCUUAAGGCAAAGCUUAAAACCUUUGACUACGGUACGAUCAGCGACUGGGGUGAAGUCGUAACAAGGUAACC
rnacentral:rRNA from 1 species